rnacentral:rRNA from 1 species
GGUCAAGAAGAGAAGCGCAAACGGUGGAUGCCUUGGCAGUAAGAGGCGAAGAAGGACGUGGAAUCCUGCGAAAAGCUAUGGGGAGCUGGAAACGAGCGAUGAGCCAUAGAUGUCCGAAUGGGGGAACCCGGCUGCAGCGAUGCGGUCAUUUGCAUUUGAAUACAUAGGAUGCAAAGGCGAACUCGGGGAACUGAAACAUCUAAGUACCCGAAGGAAAAGAAAUCAAGAGAGAUUCUCCAAGUAGCGGCGAGCGAACGGGGAGGAGCCUGGCGUGAUUUAUUAUUGAACUGAGUAGAACAAUUUGGGAAAGUUGGCGAUAGAGGGUGAAAGCCCCGUAUACGAAGGUUU